rnacentral:rRNA from 1 species
UGGGGAAUAUUGCACAAUGGGCGCAAGCCUGAUGCAGCCAUGCCGCGUGUGUGAAGAAGGCCUUCGGGUUGUAAAGCACUUUCAGCGAGGAGGAAGGUGGUGGACUUAAUACGUUCAUCAAUUGACGUUACUCGCAGAAGAAGCACCGGCUAACUCCGUGCCAGCAGCCGCGGUAAUACGGAGGGUGCAGGCGUUAAUCGGAAUUACUGGGCGUAAAGCGCACGCAGGCGGUUUGUUAAGUCAGAUGUGAAAUCCCCGGGCUCAACCUGGGAACUGCAUUUGAAACUGGCAAGCUAGAGUCUCGUAGAGGGGGGUAGAAUUCCAGGUGUAGCGGUGAAAUGCGUAGAGAUCUGGAGGAAUACCGGUGGCGAAGGCGGCCCCCUGGACGAAGACUGACGCUCAGGUGCGAAAGCGUGGGGAGCAAACAGGAUUAGAUACCCUGGUAGUCCACGCUGUAAAACGAUGUCGAUUUUGGAGGUUGUGCCCUUGAGGCGUGGCUUCCGGAGCUAACGCGUUAAAUCGACCGCCUGGGGAGUACGGCCGCAAGGUUAAAACUUAAAUGAAUUG